rnacentral:misc_RNA from 1 species
AAAGCCUGUCGCACCAACUCUGUGUGGGAAACCGCUGGAGGGCCCGUGCUAACUACACGGGGUGGUAACAGACGACACGGAUACCUCCACGCCUUUUUUGGUGUAGAUACCAUGGGCAAUCCGCAGCGAAGCCUCUAAGUCCGGCCGCCGGAUAUGAGGAACGUUCACAGACUAAGUGGAAGUGGGUGGAGCGUUCGCCGCUCUGCUUAAGAUAUAGUCGGUCCCCUUGGGAAACUAAGGGGGUGAGUACACUGCUCGAAAUUUAAACUUGAGCGCAUCUCGGAUAGCGCUCGUGUUAGAAUUUCGGGACCGUCGAUUGCCUCGCGGUUCGACGGCUCUUAAAACGUUCCGUAGGUGAACCUGCGGAAGGAUCAUUACAGAAAGUAAACGCGGAUCAAACCGCGAACUUUUAAACCUUUGACGAUUGACUCAAUGUUGCCUCGGCGGGUUCUCUCGCCAGAGGAUACAUCAAAACUCCUGUUUUAACGGUGUUGUCUGAGCUACAAGCAACGAAUCAAAACUUUCAACAACGGAUCUCUUGGUUCUGGCAUCGAUGAAGAACGCAGCGAAAUGCGAUAAGUAGUGUGAAUUGCAGAAUUCAGUGAAUCAUCGAAUCUUUGAACGCACAUUGCGCCCCUUGGUAUCCCGAGGGGCAUGCCUGUUCGAGCGUCAUUUCACCACUCAAGCCUGGCUUGGUGUUGGGCGACGUCCCCUUCAGGGACGCGCCUCGAAACGCUCGGCGGCGUGGCACCGGCUUUAAGCGUAGCAGAAUCUUUCGCUUCAAAAGUUGGGGCCCCGUCUGCCGGAAGACCUACUCGCAAGGUUGACCUCGGAUCAGGCAGGGAUACCCGCUGAACUUAAGCAUAUCAAUAAGCGGAGGAA